UGCUUUCCAGAAGUUAGUUGAAAAUUGCAGGAAAUCAAGAAAUAGAUAGUUGCAGUCAAAAGAAAUAUUGAUAGCUCGCCAAGGCACCGAAAACUAAAUGCAGUGAUAAUUUUAUUGGUGACAAAAAGUGAAAGGAAUAGUUCCCGUCAUAGCUGUUAUCAACAAACAAUAUUUCCUAUAAUCUUCACAAAACAUUAAACUAUUUGCCAUAAUGCAUACUUUGCAAUUGGCAGGAGGUACCAAUGCUUAGCAUGAUAAUCAAGAAACUUUUCAAAGAAUUUGAUGAAUAAAAUUGGCCUAUAAA